rnacentral:rRNA from 1 species
GACGAACGCUGGCGGCGUGCUUAACACAUGCAAGUCGAGCGGUAAGGCCCUUUCGGGGGUACACGAGCGGCGAACGGGUGAGUAACACGUGGGUGACCUGCCCUCAGCUCUGGGAUAAGCCUGGGAAACCGGGUCUAAUACUGGAUAUGACUCCAUGACGCAUGUUGUGGGGUGGAAAGCCUUGUGCGGCUGAGGAUGGGGCCCGCGGCCUAUCAGCUUGGUUGGUGGGGUGANGGCCUACCAAGGCGACGACGGGUAGCCGGCCUGAGAGGGCGACCGGCCACACUGGGACUGAGACACGGCCCAGACUCCUACGGGAGGCAGCAGUGGGGAAUCUUGCGCAAUGGGCGAAAGCCUGACGCAGCGACGCCGCGUGAGGGAUGACGGCCU